UACGGGGGGAGCAAGCGUUGUUCGGAAUUACUGGGCGUAAAGGGCUCGUAGGCGGCCAACUAAGUCAGACGUGAAAUCCCUCGGCUUAACCGGGGAACUGCGUCUGAUACUGGAUGGCUUGAAUCCGGGAGAGGGAUGCGGAAUUCCAGGUGUAGCGGUGAAAUGCGCAGAUAUCAGGAGGAACACCGGUGGCGAAGGCGGGUCUCUGGGCCGAUACUGACGCUGAGGAGCGAAAGCGUGGGGAGCGAACAGG
rnacentral:rRNA from 1 species